rfam:Botryotinia fuckeliana T4 unplaced genomic scaffold BcT4_SuperSuperContig_H3_V3__V4, whole genome shotgun sequence.
AGUUUCAUAGCUCAGUGCUAAAGCGAAGAAUCGCAGUUCUUUUAGUCGACGAUUCGAUCCCGUCUGGAACCU